CAGCGAGAGUAAAGAGAAGAGGCAGCCAGACCUAGCCCGCGCCCCCGCAGCCGCCUCCUCUCCUGCCGCCGCCGCCUCGGCCUCGUCCGCCUCCUCUCCUGCCGCCGCCGUCGCCUCGGCCUCGGCCGGCCCGUGCUCUGCCGACGCCCGUCGGCCUCGAUCCGGCCUCGGCAGGAGGGGAGCAGCAGCCUCGCCCCGUGCUCCGUCGGUGCCCGGCGGCCUCGACCCGUCGUCGGCAGGAGAGUGCUUGGGGGAGGAGAGGAAGGCGGCGCUCUAGGCAGGGGUGCUGGGCAGAGAGAUAUGGCGGCAGCAGCAGGAGCAGCUCGUCUCUCCUCUUCGUCUCAUCUCAUGGAUGAGGGCGUCGGCUCCAGAAGCUCUAGGAGUGGAAGACGUCUUCCUCCAGAAUUUGGUCGAGGAUUUUGUUGCAACGUCACUAUGCUGACUUUUUGUGUUUUUGGAAUUUGUUAAUGAAAUUCUGGUUAAGCGCUUUGACUUGGCCAGUGAUCUUGUCUCAAAUUACAGUUUUGGAAUUUGUCAAUGAAAUUCUACAAUCAGGUAAACCUUUUGUUUGGUCUAUUCGUCGAUAGAAUAUUCUAGACACUUGACUAGAUGUUGUAUACCAAGCAAUUCAUCAAUUCUCUUGCUGGCCUGUAGUGUUCGCCAUCAUGUAAUUUUAGGAACAAAAUUCAGAGAAAACUUACUGCAUUUUAUGUGUGAGCCAUUGAGGAUUUCUGAUAGUCUUUACAUUAUAAUGUUUUUGGUGCAGACCAUCGAUUUUACUAAGUCUUCGUCUGUUACUUUUUGCAAAUUUCAGCAUGAAUAUGCAUUCGAACUUGUUCUCAGUUAUGCAUAUAUUCAUUUUCUUAGAUGUGCAGUAUGCAAUCAUGUUCUUUUCUUGCAAUGCUUUUGGCCUGUUAAUCUUUCAUUUGAAGGAGAAUCACCAAGCGGAAUUGAGACUAUUAUCAAAAAUCCUCAUUUUGUAGAAGGGUUAAGCAAUUGGUCCGGACAAAAUGUAAUAUCCGCAGGCAUGAGUUAACUGCAUAUGGGAAUGUAAAUCACAUAAAUGGCAGCUACUUUGCAUCAGUAACAGGACAGGUUCACAGUUGGAAUGGCAUACAACAAGAUAUCACAGGCAGUGUAAAGAAAAGUUUCUUACGAGAUUAGUUCUCCUGUUUGCAGAUUUGGCAGUGCUAAUGAUACUGAAGUUCAUGCUACUUUGUGGGUAUAAGAAUAUGGCUGUGAACAAUAUCUAUGCAUUUCAAAGGAGAAGCUCGAGCCGCAGCGGGUCCAUGGCGCCAUCGCCGUCACAGCAGGAGGAGCGUGGGCCGCAGAGACGUCCGGAUCUGUCCAGCCCUCACGCCGCCGUCCGACCACCCUAGAGAGCAAAGCAGGCCAACAUCUUUGCUGCACUGGACCGGCUCUACAUCCGUGGUGGCGGGCACGGCCUCCGCUGCCGGGUGCACGAUGAGGCGCUCGAGGGGUAGGGCCGCUUGCGGCGCAGGUGCCCGUCAUGUGUCCCAGCGGGGCACCCGAGGCAGCUGCAACUGGCCGGCGAGUUUGGCUGAUUUCAACAUGUCAAGAAGAAGACCAUGGCUACCGGAGGACUAUAUGAACAAGGCUUGCCAGGUCCUGCAUCAUCAACUAACAGCCAACUCCAAACGAUUACUCAGUUGCAGAAUAUCCCAACAAAAGGCAGAAUUCCUUGUAGGAUAAAUAAAACUGCAUCUGAUGCUGACAAGUCUAGGAAUUCCAGAGGCCGAGUAUCGUUGCAGGGUAUAUGCGAACAACAAAAUCUAUGCCACAACUCUUUUCAGUACAUCUAUGGUACCACUCAAAGGUGUCCUCAUUUCGGGAUAGUAAGUCCGACGACAAGAGAUUCUACAUAUUUUCUCCCACAAAGGCACUUAAGUUGAAGACACAUUCAAAAGAUGACCGUGUCUCUGGUCGAGGCCUUGGUCUUGGUCAGGAGUGUUUAUUCGCUCAGGUUGCUUAGUGGAAGAAUAACUUUGGUGCAGAGUGACAUUUCUAUUUUGACUGCAAGGAAUCAAAAUCGGAUGCACCAGGAGGCUUUAAACAAGAGUCUUAUACAGGAUUGAGAAUAGAUUAUGCUUUCGGAGUUUUCAUGCUACUGAAAGCAACUGAAGCUACGCUAUGAGGAUCAUCUAAGCUUCUUUGGAUCCAGUAGAUACCAUUUUUGAGCGAGUUUUUCUGAAGAUGUGUCAAUGUUCAGCCUGGAGAAUGUUCAUGUAAAGGCCAGUACACAAGCAUGUCUACUUUACCAUAUGGAUGGUGGAUUUACAGGACAAAUUUAUGCACCAGCUUUGAAUUCCAUGACGUUGCACGGACUAUGUGGAACCCACUGAUUCAUAGUGAUGUAUUUUCUUCGAGAAAGAGAGGACUGUGCAAUCAGAAGUACAAUAUGUGAUCAUCAAGUGUAAGAGAUGGCAAGAAUAUGUGGUAUGUUAGUAUGUAUUUCGGUCUGCGUACUAACGAAGUGUAUUGACUGUUCAUGCUGCUAUAAUAAGCUCGAUGAUUUACUAUGGAAACAGAAAAACACUUAAGAAGCAUCUUAAUUUUUGUGUACUGAGAUUUUAGAGGCUGUUAUUGACAUUGAUUUCCUUUAUGCUAGAGAUGUUGGUAAGAAAUCUACAUCAGAACAUACUCUGGUUUAAUUCUUGGUUAGCACUUAUCUGUUCUUUGCAUUCAAAGAACUCAUUUGUUUCUUAAAAAAAGAUAAGAAAUAUUGCAAUCUUAAUUGGCACAGUUUGGCCCUUUCAUCACUUGGUAUAUAGUAUUUCUUAGAUACACCAACAAUGAAUUUUGGUUAGCACAAGAAAUUGAUACAGUACAAUAGAUUAACUAUUGCGGUAGAUUUAUUGAUUUUUGUCGGGCUGUGGUAUCUAUCUGUAGCAUCUGGAAGAUGCCAAAAAUACAAUAAGCCUUUUUUCACAAGGUUUUUUGGUGUUGCUCAAUGCUCAUUACCUCUGGUAUUAUUUUCUCUUUUAGUCCUUUACUACUAUUAUCUCGUGCUUCUAAAUAUUAUGAAAAACGUGCAAGUGAAUCAAAGACUGUAUAUAUGAGAAUGUAUGUGAGUUUGUUGCAUUUUAGAGAAUAGCCACACCUCCCUUGCGUUUGCAUAGAACAAGGAUGACAAACUUUGGUUUAAUUCUUGGUCAGCACGUAACUCAUUUGUUUCAUAAAAGAAGAUAACAAAUAUUGCAAUCUUAAUUGGCGCAAUUUGGCCCUUUUAUCUCUUGGUAUGUAGUGUUUUUUAGAUACACCAACAAUGAAUUUUCUUAGAUACACUAAAUGAUGAACAGGGCAUAUGUCAGGAUGCAUAGCAUAAUGUAUAUGUUAAUUAGAAAAUACUCUUUAGCAUCUGAAACAUCUAAAGGCCAUCACUCAACUAUGUAUUAUAUACAAUAUACCCAGCUCAAUGAUUGGAGCAGUCCCAGCCACUAAUUAGUGCUAAUUAGUACUCAACAUUGAAUCACUCAUCUAAGUAUCAACACGACUUUCCUAUUAACAUAGUAGUGCUAGGUCCUCGGUGUUCGUUCUUACUCUCUGUUUUCCGAGUCUUUGGUCUCUAUUCACAUUUCGUUUUCUAUUUUCAUAUCACUCUGUAUUCAUUCGGUAUCUUGGUUUCUCUUUGUUUAGUCUCCCGUACCUCUUUUUUUCAUUUGUAUGUCUAAGGUAAGAAUGAGAGAUUUGAUAAACAAACAGGAAAGUGCUUACUUUGUUCAGUGGAUGCAUUCCGUCACUGUCCAUCAACAAGUUCAACUCCGGCGAUGGUUCACCGAUGUGGGCCGAUGCACCACGUCAGGAACGUCAAUGGCCUGACAGGCCAUUUUCCAACUUGGCCUGUUGUAAAUGACGAGACCAUGAGGAUGCAGACAGUAAUGUUGCUCCUGAAAAUGAAGAUGUACUUUGCCGUGCCACUAAUCUCAGCAAAAUAGUAGAUCAUGAUGCCCCUCGUGCUACAGUGGAAUUGAAUCACAAAAAUUCUACAUAUUCAUAAAACACCGAAGGAGGUUAGUUUUUACCUGGGCGGCAACGGCGACUGCCGUGGGCUUGCUGGAGCCUCCCUUGCCAUGGAAAGUCACCAGCUUCAGGGAGUGCCAGGCUGCCAGAACAGACGCCACCUUCGGCAGGGAGCGACAACAGCAACCGUGAGGAUUUGGCUUGCCGAUACGAGUGACAGCGGCGCCAUCUGCAGAUUCCGCAGCUCCGAGCUGUAGCGGGAGCUGCCAGGCUGCCCAGAUGCAGAUGGAGCAGCUGCGGUGCUGCGCCUUUGAGCUGCCGGGCCGCCGAGAUGCAGUUGGAGCCGCAAUGCCGUGAAGCUGCAGCGUGAUCCGCUCCCCCGUGAAGCUGCAGCGUGAUCCACCGCGAAGAUGGAGCCCAGCGUGAAUCGCCUUCACCAGGUGUUUUCUCCAGUACAGUGGGGAGAGGAAGAGGAUGAACUGAUCGAUGGAAUCAAGGCUAACAGUCCACCACGUGGUUAUCUCUGGCGUUAUAUGUGCAACCCGUGUGUAUAGGUGUCAACCCGUGUGUCUAGGUGUCCAGACUCCAGAGUGUGUGGUUCUUUCUCACAAUGUCAUGGUUGUAUUUUUAUCUUUGGUGCUAAUUUGUACUUCAUGUAACUGGUAUAAUCUGUAUUGUUUCAUCAAAUUUAUUCCCACUUAUCUUAAUAUAAGAGCAUCUGCAACCACACGUAUCAAAAUCCUUA